rnacentral:rRNA from 1 species
ACGGGAGGCAGCAGUGGGGAAUUUUGGACAAUGGGCGCAAGCCUGAUCCAGCCAUGCCGCGUGAGUGAAGAAGGCCUUCGGGUUGUAAAGCUCUUUCGGCGGGGACGAAAAGGUCCGUGUUAACACCACGGAUCCAUGACGGUACCCGCAGAAGAAGCACCGGCUAACUACGUGCCAGCAGCCGCGGUAAUACGUAGGGUGCAGGCGUUAAUCGGAAUUACUGGGCGUAAAGCGUGCGCAGGCGGUUUGCUAAGACAGGUGUGAAAUCCCCGGGCUUAACCUGGGAACUGCGCUUGUUACUGGCAAGCUGGAGUGUGGCAGAGGGGGGUGGAAUUCCACGUGUAGCAGUGAAAUGCGUAGAGAUGUGGAGGAACACCGAUGGCGAAGGCAGCCCCCUGGGCUAACACUGACGCUCAUGCACGAAAGCGUGGGGAGCAAACAGGAUUAGAUACCCUGGUA